rnacentral:tRNA from 1 species
UAGCUCAGUGGUAGAGCAUUUAUCUGUCAUAUAGGAGGCCCUGGGUUUGAUUCCCAG